GCCCCUGUAGCUCAACUGGACAGAGCGAACGGCUUCUAUCCGUUAGGUUGGGGGUUCGAGUCCCUCCAGGGGCGCCA
rnacentral:tRNA from 1 species